UACAGAGGUCUCAAGCGUUGUUCGGAUUCAUUGGGCGUAAAGGGUGCGUAGGUGGUGGGGUAAGUCAGGUGUGAAAUCUCGGGGCUCAACCCCGAAACUGCACUUGAUACUGCCUUACCCGAGUACUGGAGAGGAGAUUGGAAUUUACGGUGUAGCAGUGAAAUGCGUAGAUAUCGUAAGGAAGACCAGUGGCGAAGGCGGGUCUCUGGACAGUUCCUGACGCUGAGGCACGAAGGUCAGGGGAGCAAACGGG
rnacentral:rRNA from 1 species